ensembl:snoRNA
AGGUCACUUCAAAAAGGGCUUGUGGGACCAAAACCAGGAGCUCUUAAAUGCUGCAACCAAAGACUGAAGUUCUCCAAAGGUUGUGAUCACUCAAUUGUGCUGUGUUUUCCUGAGGAGAUAGAAGC